CAGGAGGUGGACCUGUGUGAGAGGCGACAGCGGCCCCUGCUGUUGGAAGGCUCAAGCUGCAAGAGAGGAGGCCACUUCCAGCCUGAGGUACAGCCCUGCAGCCUGCUACAUGCUUCCCAGGCUGGAGAACACCAACACACCUUCAGUCUUGGUGUCAUUUGAAGAUGUGGCUGUGGACUUUACCCAGGAAGAAUGGCAGACAAUGGACAAUACUCAAAGGACCCUAUAUAGGGAGGUGAUGCUUGAGA